UUUUUUGGAUCAAAAAAAGUUUAUUCUGAAUUCUUUAAUUUAAAAAAAUCAUACCUAUGAGGUGUGCUACAGGAAUUCAGAUACAAUAAGUUGCAUAUAAAACCCGACCUCAUUGCUCAUUGUGGUAAAGCAAGGAUGAUGAGAAACGCACCUCAGAAGCAAAAACACGCACUUCACGGGUGCUCCGGGACCCAAGCCCCGAGACAUGUCCACGUGACCUUCUGGAAAGACACACCGCCCACCUGACUGCACGACAGGACUGGUCCAGCCUCCCGGCUCCUCAGGAAGGAGAUGAGGAAGCCGAGGCACUGAGAGGAGAAGUAACAAGCUCAAGGUCUCAACUCAGAAAUAAAUGUUUUGGAGCCUACCUCCUGCAGUUCCGCCCCUGUCUCCACUUCAUGUCUCUAAAGAAAAAGAAAAAAGAAAAGAAAAAGAAAAAUAUAAUAAGAGGAAAGAAAGGACAAAGCAAGAGAAGUUCAUGUCGACUUGGUACAGAAGUCAUAUCCCUUGGGUGAGCAACACGUGUGUGAAUGAUUCCACAAGUAAGCAAUUAGCAGAUUUUGUAGUCUAGCAUUUAAGCCAGUGCCAAGCAGAUGUUGAUGGAGAUAUUUCAGAGAAACAUCAUAAAAUGAUGAUUAAGCUAAAAGGAAUUUGAAUGGUAAAAAUUUAGAGUCUUAAAUUUAUAGAUUUAUGACUACUCUGUGCAUUUAUGUAAAAAUUCAGUCUUAAAUCUGUAGCUUUGCAGCAAAUUGGUAAAGGUAGGGAGAGGGUAGAGUAGCAAGAGGUGAGGAUGCCUGGGUAAUUAGAGACAAUGGGCUUUCCACUGGCAGAACCUCUGCUCUGCUCAGAGAGUGUUGGAAACACAAGAUGGUAGGCUACAUGGUGGUUAUGAGUCCAGGUUCUGAGGCAAGACAGUCUGUGUUCAAAUUCUGAUGCCACAACUUACUGACUAUAUGACCUUGGCCUAGUUUACUUAACCAUUUUUUGUGCCUUAGUUUUCUCAGGAGAAAAUGGGCAUAAUAGUAUCUUCUUGGUAAGGCUGUGUUCAAUGGGAUCAUUAUGCCUCUCAUGUAAGUACUCAGUAUAUGUUAAUAGUUAUAAUUAUCAUCUUAUCAUAUGUAAUCUGUUUAGGAGAUUACUACAUAUUUGAGAAGGAGCUUUUCUUCAGAUAGAUAUUAUAGAGGAUGCACUCAUUGUUUGAGGGAGAA